GACAUGAUGUCUUCUGCAGUGACAUGAUGUCUUCUGCAGUGACAUGAUGUCUUCUGCAGUGACAUGAUGUCUUCUGCAGUGACAUGAUGUCUUCUGCAGUGACAUGAUGUCUUCUGCAGUGACAUGAUGUC
rnacentral:pre_miRNA from 1 species